rnacentral:rRNA from 1 species
AUGAACGCUGGCGGCGUGCCUAAUACAUGCAAGUCGAGCGAACAGACGAGGAGCUUGCUCCUCUGACGUUAGCGGCGGACGGGUGAGUAACACGUGGAUAACCUACCUAUAAGACUGGGAUAACUUCGGGAAACCGGAGCUAAUACCGGAUAAUAUAUUGAACCGCAUGGUUCAAUAGUGAAAGACGGUUUUGCUGUCACUUAUAGAUGGAUCCGCGCCGCAUUAGCUAGUUGGUAAGGUAACGGCUUACCAAGGCAACGAUGCGUAGCCGACCUGAGAGGGUGAUCGCCCACACUGGAACUGAGACACGGUCCAGACUCCUACGAGAGGCAGCAGUAGGGAAUCUUCCGCAAAGGGCGAAAGCUUGACGGAGCAACGCCGCGUGAGUGAUGAAGGUCUUCGGAUCGUAAAACUCUGUUAUUAGGGAAGAACAAAUGUGUAAGUAACUAUGCACGUCUUGACGGUACCUAAUCAGAAAGCCACGGCUAACUACGUG